rnacentral:rRNA from 1 species
CCUACGGGAGGCAGCAGUGAGGAAUAUUGGUCAAUGGGCGAGAGCCUGAACCAGCCAAGUCGCGUGAAGGAUGACGGCCCUACGGGUUGUAAACUUCUUUUGUCAGGGAGCAAUUGGUUCCACUCGUGGGCUUAGCUAGAGUACCUGAAGAAAAAGCAUCGGCUAACUCCGUGCCAGCAGCCGCGGUAUUACGGGGGAUGCGAGCGUUAUCCGGAUUUAUGGGGUGUAAAGGGUGCGUAGGCGGAAUAUCAAGUCAGCGGUAAAAAUUCGGGGCUAAACCCCGUCGUGCCGUUGAAACUGAUGUUCUUGAGUGGGCGAGAAGUAUGCGGAAUGCGUGGUGUAGCGGUGAAAUGCAUAGAUAUCACGCAGAACUCCGAUUGCGAAGGCAGCAUACCGGCGCCCAACUGACGCUGAAGCACGAAAGCGUGGGUAUCGAACAGGAUUAGAUACCCUAGUAGUC